rnacentral:lncRNA from 12 species
AGACUCUUCACUUCGUUAUUCAGGGUGUCACCUGUGAGCGCUUCUUAAUUCUGUUUUUCUCUUCAGAUUCUUUCAAAUCCCUCUGUCACGUAAUCUGCGUCCCUUGGAAAACUCCACUCUUCCCCACCAGGCCUUCCCAUUGCUUGUUUGUCACUUGAGGAAACUUGUCUUCAUCAGUGUGGGUAUGUGUGUGCCAAGUGCGGCUACACCCCCUCUCCCCGGGAUGUGAAAAGAACAAAUAUUACCAUUUACAGUUGGAAUGUAAUUUUAUUUCUUUCUAUAAGAUCCAGAUUAUGAGCAAUAAUAGAAAGUAAAGGGGUGGGGCACCUGGGUGGCUCAGUUGGUUGGGCGUCCAUCUCUUGGUUUUGGCUCAGGUCAUGAUCUCACACAU